rnacentral:tRNA from 1 species
GCCUCCUUGGUUCAGUGGUAGAACGACGGUAUCGUAAACCGUAUGCGCCAGUUCGAUUCUGGCAGGAGGCU